UGUGUACUCCCUCCGUUCCAAAAUACUUGACUUCCAUUUGUCCAAAAAUGGAUAUACCUAUAUACUAAAACAUUUCUAGAUACAUCUAUAUUUUUACAAAUAGAAGGCAUGUAUUGUGGAACGGAGGGAGUAGAAU
rnacentral:pre_miRNA from 1 species